rnacentral:rRNA from 1 species
GACGAACGCUGGCGGCGUGCUUAACACAUGCAAGUCGAACGGUGAAGCGCCUUCCUUUUUGGUGGGUGUGGAUGAGUGGCGAACGGGUGAGUAACACGUGAGUAACCUGCCCCCUUCUCCUGGAUAACCGCAUGAAAGUGUGGCUAAUACGGGAUAUUCUGGGUCUGUCGCAUGAUGGGUCUGGGAAAGAUAUUGUUUCGGUGGGGGAUGGGCUCGCGGCCUAUCAGCUUGUUGGUGGGGUGAUGGCCUACCAAGGCGGUGACGGGUAGCCGGCCUGAGAGGGUGGACGGUCACACUGGGACUGAGACACGGACCAGACUCCUACGGGAGGCAGCAGUGGGGAAUAUUGCACAAUGGGCGCAAGCCUGAUGCAGCGACGCCGCGUGAGGGAUGGAGGCCUUCGGGUUGUGAACCUCUUUCGCCAGUGAAGCAGGCCUGCCUCGUUUGUGGGUGGGUUGACGGUAGCUGGAUAAGAAGCGCCGGCUAACUACGUG